rnacentral:rRNA from 1 species
CCCUUAGAUGUCCUGGGCUGCACGCGCGUUACACUGAUGCAUUCAACGAGCUUAUAACCUUGGCCGAGAGGCCUGGGCAAUCUUGUUAACGUGCAUCGUGAUAGGGAUAGAUUAUUGAAAUUAUUAAUCUUGAACGAGGAAUUCCUAGUAAACGCAGAUCAUCAAUCUGCAUUGAUUACGUCCCUGCCCUUUGUACACACCGUCCGCCGCACCUACCGAUUGGAUGGUCCGGUGAAGCCUCGGGAUUGUGGUUCUUGCCGCUUUAUUGUGGCGUGACCGCGAGAACUUGUCUAAACCUUAUCAUCUAGAGGAAGGUGAAGUCGUAACA